GGGGUCGUAGCUCAGUUGGGAGAGCGCAUGCAUGGCAUGCAUGAGGUCACGGGUUCGAUCCCCGUCGGCUCCA
rnacentral:tRNA from 1 species